CGCGUAGGUGGUUGUGUAAGUCAGAUGUGAAAUCCCGAGGCUCAACCUUGGAACUGCAUCUGAUACUGCAUGACUCGAGUACAGCAGAGGGAAACGGAAUUCCUGGUGUAGAGGUGAAAUUCGUAGAUAUCAGGAGGAACACCGGUGGCGAAGGCGGUUUCCUGGGCUGAUACUGACACUGAGGCGCGAAAGCGUGGGGAGCAAACAG
rnacentral:rRNA from 1 species